rnacentral:misc_RNA from 1 species
GGAGUGCUUAGUGAUUGCCACCCCUGUUAUCUGAACUCUUUUUUUUUUUCGUUUCGUUUCUUUCUGUUCGCGUGAUUCACUUUUCGACUCUCUCUCUAAGUGUGUGUGUGUGUGUUUUAGUUCCACCCGGUGGGCUCUCGCCUCGUCUUCCGUUACCCAUCUUCACGCUCCGAUCCCGCACGUGCCCCGCGCGCUCUGGCACGCCUGACCCCUCAAACUGCACACAUACACACAGGAGCCCCCAUACACGUGCAGAAACCUCCCACAUCAAGCCUGCACCAUCACUACCAUCACCCUUCUCUCCCUCACCCACGCUGCGUCGCGUUUUGCUUUAUUUAGCCUCGGCUGUCUCCUCCUCUCACCUUCCUCUUCAUCUGUUUUGACUGCUGUUGUUGCUGUUAUCAUUGCACUAUUCGCCACGCCUUUUCCUCAGUUGCCUUGCCUGUCCGCCCAAUUCUUUUUUAUGUUUUCAUCUUCUCUUCCAUUCGUUGUGGUACACUGUUGCUGUCGCUGCUGCUGACUUGGCGAGGACGCGUCUCUCUCUCUCUCUGUAUUCAGGCAAGCAGUCUCUGUUCCGCCCAUCCCCUUCUACCGCUCUGCCCCUUCCCCCCUCCCUCCACUACCCCUCCCCGACUCCUCAACUCCUUAUAUUGGUAAUACUGGUCUUUUUCAAUUGUUUAUUUAUUUGCGUGUCUUCUUCGUGUGUGUGUCGGUCGUCCUCUGCCCCCGUGAAGUCACACCCGUGCAUUAGUACCCCCCCCCCCCCCGUGUCCAGCCCCCCCCCUACACACACGCCACACACACCACCACGCAGGCCUUUCUGUGCGUACGACACUUUGAGCUUUUGCUUGCGUUCCUUUCCUCGCUCCACCACUCGCCUGACUGGAGCGCCACACCACGACCUGUUGCCUUCUCGUGUUGCACCGCUCACCCUUUUGGGUCGCCGUCUCCUUCCGUCAUCCCAUACGUGCCGCAUUUCUCAGCCGUUUUCCUCUUUUCCUUCUACCCUCGCUGCAGCCCUCCCUCCGCCCUCUUUCCCUGACGAUCACACGGACACACACACACACACAGUCUCUCUCUGUCUCGCGCGCGGUGUUUCUGUGUGCGUCUGACGCGGGAAGCCUUGAGCUGGCCUCCCGCUCCGUCUCCCUUCCCUCCCUUUCUUUGUUCAAUGGAAAGCACGGGCCUGUCUAUGCGCGUGUGUUUGUGUAUGCCUGUGGUACGUCUUCGCUCUUCUUGUUCCUUUUAUAUACCCUCUAGGAGCUGCGGCAAUCAUGCCCAACCAACCGCCGUGUUGGCGCAAGUGCCUUUCCACCAGAAUCUUCCCAGACAAGCUCUCCAAGUCCUUCUGCUGCUUUAGCGCAGAGGCGGACGUGGACGAGGAUGAUGAGGUGAUCGUGUACCUUAACGACCCCGAGUUGAACGCGCAGUUUAAUUAUCCGUCGAACUUCAUUCGUACCUCCAAGUACACACUCAUCUCCUUCCUCCCACUCAGCCUCCUGUUGGAGUUCAAAAAGGUGAGUAAUUUGUAUUUCCUCAUGAACGUCAUAUUCAGCCUCAUCCCAGGUGUGUCCCCGCUAAGUCCGGCGACCUCGAUUGCGCCGCUGUCCUUUGUGCUCAUCGUGGCACUCAUCAAAGAGGGGGUGGAGGACAUCAAGCGACAUCAGGCCGACAACCGCGCCAACUCGAUUUUAGUGCAGGUACUGCGAAACGGCAAGCUCGUCUCGGUGCACAGCAAGGACAUCCACCCUGGUGACGUCAUGCGUAUCAAGAACGGCGAGGAGGUGCGCGCCGAUGUCGUCAUGCUCGCCUCGUCCGUCGAGGAAGGACAGGCAUUUAUAGACACAUGUAACCUGGACGGCGAGACGAACCUGAAGUCGCGCAAGGCUCUGGAAGCCACCUGGGCGCUCUGCGAAGUCGAGGCAAUCAUGAAUAGCACAGCCGUACUGCACACGAGCAAGCCAGACCCAGGGUUGCUGUCGUGGGCAGGGCUGUUGGAAAUCAAUGGCGAGGAGCACGCUCUCUCGCUGAACCAGUUCCUGUAUCGCGGCUGCGUGUUACGCAACACGGACUGGGUGUGGGGCAUGGUUGCCUACGCAGGGGUCGACACGAAGCUGUUCCGAAACUUGAAGCCAAAACCGCCGAAGUCGUCGAACCUCGACCGCAAGCUGAACUACUUUAUCAUAGCCAUCCUCAUAUUCCAGAACAUCAUGCUCUUCAUCUUAGCCUCCAUGGCAGUGUGGUGGAACAGCAAGUACCGGGAAACGCCCUACCUCCGCUUCUUUAUCAGCUUUCGCAAGAACGUAACUCUGUGGGGAUACCGUUACUUGAGUUACUUCAUUUUGCUGAGCUACUGCGUGCCCAUCUCGCUGUUCAUCACGAUUGAAGUGUGCAAAGUGGUCCAGGCGCAGUGGAUGCGGGUGGACUGCCUCAUGAUGGAGUACAUGAGCAACCGCUGGCGGCACUGCCAGCCGAACACGUCGAACCUCAACGAGCAGCUAGCAAUGGUGCGCUUCAUCUUCAGCGACAAAACUGGGACGUUGACAGAGAACGUCAUGAAGUUCAAGCUAGGCGACGCUCUCGGUAAUCCGAUCGACGCCGACAAUCUGGACGAGUGCAUCGCGCAGCUGCGCAAGGAGGCCGAGUCGAAGGGGCUAGGCCCGCUGCAAGAGUACUUUCUCGCGCUGGCCCUGUGCAACACGGUUCAGCCCUUCAAGGACGACACGGAUGACUUGGGUGUUGUCUACGAAGGCAGCUCCCCAGACGAGGUGGCGCUGGUCGAGACCGCUGCUGCUGUCGGCUAUCGCCUCAUCAGCCGUACGACAAAGUCCAUCACGCUACUCCUGCACGAUGGGACGCGCAAGGUAUACAACAUCCUCGCCACACUGGAGUUCACGCCGGACCGCAAGAUGAUGAGCAUCAUCGUCGAGGACAGCGACACCAAAAAAAUUACGCUGUACAAUAAGGGGGCCGACAGUUUCAUCAGGCCGCAGCUGAGCCGCGCCCCGGAUGUGCAGGGGCACAUCGAAAAUGUCGAGAUCCCUCUGACGGAAAUGUCCUCGUCGGGGCUCCGCACGCUGCUUGUGUGCGCCAAGGAUAUCACACGGCGCCAGUUCGACCCAUGGUUCGAGAAGUUCGUCGAAGCCGGCAAGUCCCUGCACAACCGCAGCUCCAAUAUUGAUAAAGUCUGCUUAGAGAUGGAGCAAGAUAUGCGGCUCGUCGGUGCCACCGCUAUCGAGGACAAGCUGCAAGACGAGGUCCCUGAGACACUGUCCUUCUUCUUGAGCGCCGGUGUAAUCAUUUGGAUGCUCACUGGCGACAAGCGCGAGACCGCCGUGACGAUCGCUGCAACGUCGACCCUGUGCGACCCGCGCAACGACUUCAUCGACCACAUCGACAUUGGUCAUCUGAAUUCAUCGGAUCCCAAGGCGAUUGAGCGCGUAGGGCGCGACCUCGAAGUGGUGGAGCAGCACAUCGCGCUCAAGGGGACCCACAAGGAGCGGCGCUGCACCUUGGUCAUCGACGGCCCAGCGCUGAACAUCGCAAUGGAGCACUACUUUGACCAGUUCCUGCGCCUCUCCCAUCAGGUCAACUCCGCCGUCUGCUGUCGUCUCACGCCGAUCCAGAAGGCAACCGUCGUUCGCAUGUUCCAGAAGUCAACCGGUAAGACAGCGCUGGCCAUCGGUGACGGCGCCAACGACGUGUCCAUGAUCCGGGAGGGGCGUGUGGGCGUGGGCAUUAUUGGGCUGGAAGGUGCACACGCCGCCCUCGCCGCCGACUACGCGAUUCCGCGGUUCAAGCACCUGCGCCGCCUAUGCGCGGUGCAUGGCCGCUACUCGCUCUUCCGCAACGCCAGCUGCAUUCUGGUUAGCUUCCACAAGAACAUUACUGUGUCGGUGGUGCAGUUCAUCUUCGCCUUCUACGUCGGCUUCUCGGGGCUAACACUCUUUGAUGGAUGGAUGCUGACCUUCUACAACGUCCUUCUAACAAGUAUCCCACCCUUCUUCAUGGGCAUAUUCGAUAAGGACCUCCCCGAAGAUGCCCUGCUGGAGCGGCCGAAGCUGUACACACCGUUGUCGCAUGGCGAGUACUUUAACCUGGCGACGCUUCUGCGGUGGUUCGUCGAAUCACUAACAACAGCGGUGAUCCUCUUCUAUGCUGCUUACCCGACAUUGAUCCGUCAAGACGGUUCCCAUCAGCGCUACACCGGCGGCGAGACCGGCACGCUCGUGUUCAGCGGCUUGAUCCUCGUCAUUCAAACUCGCUUCAUCCUGCAGAUCCGCUACUGGCAGUGGCUGCAGGUGUUUGGCAUGGCGAUGUCGAUUUUUCUCUUUCUGUUGUUGUUUCUCGUCUACUCCGCCAUUCCCUCAGUCUUCAGUGACACGAAUUUCUACUACCAAGCCUUCGAUCUCAUGUCGACCGCCAAGUACUGGUUUUUCCUGCUCCUCUACGUUGGCACCGAGGUGGUGGUCGUACUCGGCGUCAUGACGUUCCAGAAGAACCUCUUCCCUACCCUGCGCGACGUCGCGGAGCGACAGUACGCUGUUCAAAACGGUGGAAAGCUGUGAAGAUUGUAUGCCAGUGACUAGGAAGAGGAUCCAAGCACUGGGUGGGGGGGGCGACAAUGAGGGCAACGCGUGGCGCUGGACCGUAGGUUGGCCCGAGUGAAUGUCUGUGCUUGGUGGUGUCACUUGGGGAGGGCGGAGCGUGGGCAGAGCAUCGGGGAGAGAAGUGCGUGCACAUGCGAGCGGCUUGGUAUGUGGCUGCACUCCUGCCGCAUCCUACCUCUGCGUCGCUUGUACCUCCCUCUCUGUGUCUCUGUCAGGUGCGCGUGCGCCUGCCUGGCUUUGACUUUUAGGGGCUACUCCCUCUUAUCUCCUACCUAAUCCGCAUCGAACAUGGGUUCGUGUUUUUUUUUUCGCGUUGAUGUUCUCACUUUCACAUGCAUGUCUGCUUGCCUUUGCGCGUGUGUGUAUGUGUGUGUCUACCUCUGUGGGUGGGCAUGUGUACGUGUGUGCCGGCAGCGGUUGGCUGUGGAACGUCUUUUUUUUUUCGCGCGCCUGCGUAAGUCUCCUCCUGCUCAACUACUUUGGUUUUUUUUUUCGCUUCGCUGGUUUCCUCUUCAUUCUUUUAGGGGUUGCGCAGGGUCACGAGGCACACGUGCCGAGAUCGGCGCCCGCACGUGCAGCGGCCCCCCGCGACAAAGCCGAUUAACAACACCACAAAAAAAGACCGAAUCGCCGAAGUGCACAAAACCAUAGGAGAACACCCUCUCCACAAGAAACGUGUACACACACCGACACACACACGCACACACACACACACCUCUCUAUAUAUGUAUAUAUGUAAUAUAUACAUACACAUAUAUAUUAUAUUCAUAGAGAGAGAGGUGUGUGCGUGUGCUAUAUGUUUUAUUUUCAGUUUGCUUUGGUUGGCUUAGCCGUGCCCCGAUGACCGGCGAUACUUCACCCUGGUCUCAAGAUCUAGUGCCCACUCUCUGGAUGUGGGUGGGAAGCCAAAGCAGCCGUCUCUCCCCCCCUCUAUCCCCCUGCCCCUGCCGAACCACUUCGGGUGGUGACGGGGGUUCCUGUGCCCACGACGCAGAGAGGCCAGAGCGACCUGCGACAGCGCACACGCUUGUGUCAUCCAUGUGAUGGGCGAAGCUUCCGCGUGACUCGAGCGCAUCCCGCCCGACGCUCACUGCCUACGGGUGUGUGUGCGUGGGGUGGGUGGGUGGGGGCCCUGGGACACCCCCGAGGGGCGCAGCAGGUGGCGACCGGCAGAGAGGGUCUGCGUAGAGUGUGAGGCGGCGGCCGUGCUCAGCUGACUGAGUCGGCGCACUGCUGUGCUGGCGUGUGUCUGCUGCUGCCUCUGCGCACGGCGCGGAUGUGUGGGGCGGGGGUGCAGUGUGGCGUGUGACCGGUGCUGUAUGGCCGAGAACGAAUGCACACGCGUUGGCAGAAAAGGCAACCUGUGCUCGUGUGCCCAUUGCCGUUACCGUUAUACAACGGCCUCACUGCUUAAGAGAGCUCGGUGUUCUGGAGACUCUGUGAUGAUGCGUGUUGCGGUUUUCCCUUUUUUUGUCGUUUGCCCUCAACUCUGCAGUGUGUGUGUGUGUAAGCGAGAGCCGUUUAGGUGGAGGUGGUGACACGCAUGCGCAGGACUUGUCUCCUUUUCUUUCUUAGCGCGCAUGCGUCUGUGUUUUACGUGUGAGUAAGUGCGUGCGCGUGCGCGUCGCCUCAAGCACGCCCCCUCUUUUGUGGUUUGUCUCGUGCGUGUUCGUGGUCGAGGUGGCUCUGCUCUCUCGGCCUCUCAUGACCACCUCUCCCCUCUCCCUCUCUCUCAUCGUUGCCACGUCCGUGCGUGUCUCUCGUUUCCCUCCGCUGCCCAUCUAGCUAUAUAUGACGGUGAAGGCGUUACUUGGAAAGUGAAUGCUGAUGACUAAUUCGAGCUCGCUCGCACUCUCUUCCCCUUACCUUCUCCUUUUGCUAAACCGACACGCAAGUGCACCCGCUCCUGCGGACAUGCAUGCACUUCCACAUGCCCACCUCUCCCUCCCCUGUGUGUAUGCACGUGUGUGUGUGUGCGCACCUGUCUGUGUGUGUGCUACUUCGGCCUCGACGCACGCGUGGCAGGGACGUCAGUGUGCGACGAGAUCGGGCGGAGGAUCGCGUUUUUUUUUGUCUUCAGUGCAAGCGAGAUCUUUAUUCCACCUCCCAACGUUGCCUGUGAACUCUGUUUCACAUGAC